GCAGCCGACAGCAGUCGUCUCGCGGAUAAGACAGCGACGCACAGCUGAGCGCGUCACGUGACGCCCAAGGUCGGCGUCGUCAGUAAACAGCGGCAUCGGAAUUGCCCGACCUGCGGCGUUUUUCCGUCGUGAGCGUGUACCCACACCGCUGCGUGCUCCUCGAGCUCCGAGCCAUUCGGUGUGUGUCCGAAGGAAAGCCCGUCAGGGGAGCCUAGCUGCAGUCUACACCUCAUACGUGCUUUGCUAUUCAUGCUUGGAUAGUAAUCUUAGGAUGCAGUCAUCAACGCUGGCUUCUCUGAACACUCAACGUGACUACCAGUGCCCGAGCUAAUCACCAGGUUAUUGCUGGAAUCAGAUCCCGUCAAACUGGAGUCGAGGCAGGCCUCCUGCGCCACUACUCCUGUGCAGAAGCCUUUGAUGAUGCAACGGGGAGCAUAAAAGCGUGCUUCACAUUUCGACGGAGCCAUUGCUGUGGACGAUCCAGGCACGCUCACAUCGACGGCCUACUCACCGCACUUUUGUGCAUUACAUGUGCAAUGUCGGGGGUUCAGGUGUGCGGCUGCCUUAACUGGAGUGUCCACUGCCAGGAGGUGCAGCCCUGCGAUGUCCGGCACCUGGCCCCAGCAGGGGACGACCCCUUCUUUCGGGACGGGGUUGUCUGUGCAAAGCUUGCUCUGCAGGGCAUUACCAAGAGACACUCGUUCCUGGAAAGCGUGCGCAGUGUGGGCGAGUGGGAGGUGCACAGCUGUCAGGGCUGCCAGCGCGAUGUGUAUGCACAAGCCUCUGAUCGGAGCCUGCUGCUCAGUGCCGACCUUGAGGUAAAGUCUCCAAGGCUUCACUU